GACAGAGGUGGCAAGCGUUGUUCGGAAUUACUGGGCGUAAAGGGCGCGUAGGCGGUCUUGUCAGUCCCUUGUGAAAUCCCCCGGCUCAACUGGGGAACUGCACGGGAAACAGCAGGGCUUGAGUUCGGGAGAGGGAAGCGGAAUUCCGGGUGUAGCGGUGAAAUGCGUAGAUAUCCGGAGGAACACCGGUGGCGAAGGCGGCUUCCUGGACCGAUACUGACGCUGAGGCGCGCAAGCUAGGGGAGCAAACGGG
rnacentral:rRNA from 1 species